rnacentral:rRNA from 1 species
GGGCCCGCACAAGCGGUGGAGCAUGUGGUUUAAUUCGACGCAACGCGAAGAACCUUACCAGGGCUUGACAUCCCUCGCUAUCCUUGGAAACAAGGAGUUCCCUUCGGGGACGAGGAGACAGGUGGUGCAUGGUUGUCGUCAGCUCGUGUCGUGAGAUGUUGGGUUAAGUCCCGCAACGAGCGCAACCCUUAUCCUUAGUUGCCAGCAUUAAGUUGGGCACUCUAGGGAGACUGCCGGUGACAAACCGGAGGAAGGUGAGGACGACGUCAAAUCAUCAUGCCCCUUAUGUCCUGGGCUACACACGUGCUACAAUGGCCUGUACAACGGGUAGCGAAGGCGCGAGCCGGAGCCAAUCCUAAGAAAGCAGGCCUCAGUUCGGAUUGUAGGCUGCAACUCGCCUGCAUGAAGUCGGAAUCGCUAGUAAUCGCGGAUCAGCAUGUCGCGGUGAAUACGUUCCCGGGCCUU